rnacentral:lncRNA from 1 species
CUCUCUCUCUCUCUCUCUCUCUCUCUCUCUAUAUAUAUAUAUAUAUAUAUAGAAUUGAGCUAGAAUACUUUUAAAAGUAUCACCUCAUUGGUGCUUUUAGGUUUCUAGCCCUUGGAUCUACUCCUUCAUUAGUAAUAGCCCUUGGAUCAAACACUAUUCCACCUACCACCACCUACCACCAUCAUCACAACCUUACAUUCCUCCAUCCAAUGGUUAAAAACUCAAAAGCAUCACCUCAUUGGUGCUUUUGAAUGUAUUCUAGCUCAACUCUAUAUAUAUAUAUAUAUAUAUAGAAUUGAGCUAGAAUACUUUUAGAAGCACCAACCACUUGGUGCUUCUAAGUUUCUAGCCAUUGGAUCUACUCCUUAAUUACUAAUAGCUUUUGGAUCAAACACUAUUUUAUCUACCACCAUCAUCUCAACCCUACAUCUCUCCAUCCAAUGGCUAAAAACUCAAAAGCACCAACCCCUUGGUGCUUUUGAGAGUAUUCUAGCUCAACUCUCUCUCUCUCUCUCUCUC